AUGCCCGACUCCACCACAUAAAGUUCUGACAUAAUACAAAAUAUUUGCAGAAACAACAGUAUAACACACCUGUAAAGGGCAAUAGAACAAAGGAGGAGUGUUAUAACCUUGAACUGUUCUUUAGUCCUUGACCACCUUGGGAACUUCCAGUCAUCACCUUGCUUUGAGAGCCUUUGGCUUAAACUAUACUGGACUUCCUACUUUCAUCUCCAAGGUCCUUCUCUGAACUGGUGGUUGAAGUGAGAAUAAACAGGAGGGGGCCCAUGUGAGAAAUAUUUAGGAGGUAAAAGGAAUGUGUUAGGAGACGGUCAGGAGACAGUGUGGUGAGAGGAAGUGAUUGAAGAUGAUGCCCAAGAUGGUGGACGGACUGAGGACAUCAAUGAUGGAGACAUCUCCUGAGACAAGGAAAAUAAGAGGAAGAUCCUGCUUGUUGUUUAACACCAGGAAAGAAUCACAGAUGCCUGCACUCACUAACCAAGGCAUCCUCCAGAGGUGUGAAUGGAAGACAUUAGCACAGAACCUGGAGAGAGAAGGAACACAUUUCUGC
rnacentral:lncRNA from 1 species